AUACUGAUGCCAAUUCCUGUGACUAUUGUUUCGAAGUCUUUCUUAGGUUGGCUUUGUUUUAUAUGAAUAAGUUGUUGAACUUCCCAUGCUUGUGCUGAUUUAGAACCCUUAGUCCAGUUACUCCAAUAAUAGUAUGCAGGAAAUGAGUAACACAAAGGACAAGACCCACCAAAGCGAAUAAUAAGCCAAUAAACUUAGACAUGGAUGUAUUGCCUCAUGAGCUAGUGGAGUUUAGUUAUCAAUGUUUCAGGUACAAUGGUGUAUCAUGAUUAAAUUUCUAGUUCAAUGAAGGAGGAGGUUGAUCAAAGAAAUCAAAUAAAUCAGCUGUGAAAUCAUCAAAGCAAUCAUCUGCAGUUGCAUGGGAACUGUUUGUUUCCGAAGGCUCGCCUGGCUCAAACACGUCUUGCAAAUUGAAAGGAGCGUGGUUCGGAGCCAGUCCGUGGCAGUCUGGAAACAUUCCGAUCUCUUGCGAGGAAUGUGUGAAUUGGGCGAUGCAACAAUGAGAAAAAGGGUCAAAGGGUGCUGCUAGCAUGUGUGUGGAUGGGGUUCCAAAUACUUGAUUUUCAUUUUCCAUAGUUGAUGAUUGUUCAUCCAGCUGAGAGGAGCUGGAGCUAGGAACCUGCAAUUACAUCAGCCAUACUACAAAAAGUUACCAAAAACAA